GUGCUCGCUUCAGCAGCACAUAUACUAAAAUUGGAACGAUACAGAGAAGAUUAGUAUGGCCCCUGCACAAGGAUGACAUGCAAACUCCUGAAGCGUUCCAUAUUUUU
ensembl:snRNA U6 U6 spliceosomal RNA